CAGUAGCCGCGGUAAUACGGAGGGAGCUAGCGUUGUUCGGAAUUACUGGGCGUAAAGCGCACGUAGGCGGCUUUUCAAGUCAGGGGUGAAAUCCCGGGGCUCAACCCCGGAACUGCCCUUGAAACUGGAUGGCUAGAAUACUGGAGAGGUGAGUGGAAUUCCGAGUGUAGUGGUGAAAUUCGUAGAUAUUCGGAAGAACACCAGUGGCGAAGGCGACUCACUGGACAGUUAUUGACGCUGAGGUGCGAAAGCGUGGGGAGCAAACAGGAUUAGAUACCCCCGUAGUCCCUGUCUCUUAUAC
rnacentral:rRNA from 1 species